CGAGUGGCGGACGGGUGAGUAAUGUCUGGGAAACUGCCUGAUGGAGGGGGAUAACUACUGGAAACGGUGGCUAAUACCGCAUAACGUCGCAAGACCAAAGAGGGGGACCUUCGGGCCUCUUGCCAUCAGAUGUGCCCAGAUGGGAUUAGCUUGUUGGUGAGGUAACGGCUCACCAAGGCGACGAUCCCUAGCUGGUCUGAGAGGAUGACCAGCCACACUGGAACUGAGACACGGUCCAGACUCCUACGGGAGGCAGCAGUGGGGAAUAUUGCACAAUGGGCGCAAGCCUGAUGCAGCCAUGCCGCGUGUAUGAAGAAGGCCUUCGGGUUGUAAAGUACUU
rnacentral:rRNA from 2 species